AGAACGAACGUUAGCGGUGUGGAUUAGGCAUGCAAGUCGAGCGAGCGGCGAACGGGUGAGUAACACGUAAUAACCUGCCCUUAGACCGGAAUAACCAUCGGAAACGAUGGGUAAUGCCGAAUGGGAGGGGAUUGCGGCCUAUCAGCUAGUUGGUGAGGUAACGGCCCACCAAGGCGAUGACGGGUAGCCGGUCUGAGAGGACGAUCGGCCACACUGGGACUGAGACACUGCCCAGACUCCUACGGGAGGCUGCAGUCGAGAAUCUUCCGCAAUGGGCGCAAGCCUGACGGAGCGACACCGCGUGCAGGAUGAAGGCCUUCGGGUUGUAAACUGCUGUCACGCUAUAUGACCAAAGCGAGAGGAAGCACCGGCUAACUCCGUGCCAGCAGCCGCGGUAAGACGGAGGGUGCAAACGUUGUUCGGAAUCACUGGGCAUAAAGCGCACGUAGGCCGUCCGCUAAGUUCGACGUGAAAGCCCCCGGCUCAACCGGGGAACUGCGUCGAAGACUGGCGGACUCGAGGACGGUUGGGGUGAGUGGAACUCCUGGUGGAGCGGUGAAAUGCGUAGAUAUCAGGAGGAACACCGGUGGCGAAAGCGGCUCACUGGACCGUUACUGACGCUGAGGUGCGAAAGCUAGGGGAGCGAACGGGAUUAGAUACCCCGGUAGUCCUAGCCGUAAACGAUGGGCACUAGGUAGGGCUGCCGCAGCAAAUGUGUUAAGUGCCCCGCC
rnacentral:rRNA from 1 species